AACGAACGCUGGCGGCAUGCCUAACACAUGCAAGUCGAACGAGACCUUCGGGUCUAGUGGCGCACGGGUGCGUAACGGGUGGGAACCUGCCCUUAGGUUCGGCAUACCUCCCCGAAAGGGGUGCUAAUACCGGAUCAUGUCUUCGGACCAAAGAUUUAUCGCGUUUGGAUGGGCCGGCGUUGGAUUAGCUAGUUGGUAGGGUAAAAGCCUACGACGGCGACAAUCCAUAGCUUGUCUGAGAGGAUGCUCAGCCACACUGGGACUGAGACACGGCCCAGACUCCUACGGGAAGCAGCAGUGGGGGAUAGUGGACAGUGGGCGGAAGCCUGAUCCAGCAAUGCCGCUUGAGUGAUGAAGGCCGUAGGGUUGUAAAGCGCUUGUACCCGUGAUGAUAAUGACAGUACCGGGAGAAUAAGCUCCGGCUAACUCCGUG
rnacentral:rRNA from 1 species